rnacentral:rRNA from 1 species
GAAAAGAACUUUGAAGAGAGAGUUCAAGAGUACGUGAAACUGAAGUGGUGUAAACGGACGAGUUCGAAAAGUCCGAAUGGUGAGAUUCAAGCUUACCGUGCCGGUGGCCCUUGGGUUCAGAUGGCGUCGUCAGCUCGGGCUUCGGUUCGGGUCAUACGGCGUCACUCGUCCUGGGGGUAUCUGUCUGGUGCGGUGGGCUGCACUUCUCGCCUAGUAGGACGUCGCGACCCGUUGGGAUGUUCCGUUCACUGGCCCCUGGUGGAGCCCGCGCCGGAGCGUGGCCUUGUGCCGCGUUGCUGUUUGCACGGACCCGGGGUGACCUGAUCGGCGCCCGACGGUAUCAAAGCUUGGGAAGAGGCCGCACAGAGGAUGCGUUCGAUGGCCGUUUCGGCCUACACUCGGACAGGCCUGCACCCGGUCAGCGGCGCUUCUGCUUUCGAUACUCGUCCGACCCGUCUUGAAAC